GAUGAACGCUGGCGGCGUGCCUAAUACAUGCAAGUCGAGCGAACGGACGAGAAGCUUGCUUCUCUGAUGUUAGCGGCGGACGGGUGAGUAACACGUGGAUAACCUACCUAUAAGACUGGGAUAACUUCGGGAAACCGGAGCUAAUACCGGAUAAUAUUUUGAACCGCAUGGUUCAAAAGUGAAAGACGGUCUUGCUGUCACUUAUAGAUGGAUCCGCGCUGCAUUAGCUAGUUGGUAAGGUAACGGCUUACCAAGGCAACGAUGCAUAGCCGACCUGAGAGGGUGAUCGGCCACACUGGAACUGAGACACGGUCCAGACUCCUACGGGAGGCAGCAAUAGGGAAUCUUCCGCAAUGGGCGAAAGCCUGACGGUGCAACGCCGCGUGAGUGAUGAAGGUCUUCGGAUCGUAAAACUCUGUUAUUAGGGAAGAACAUAUGUGUAAGUAACUGUGCACAUCUUGACGGUACCUAAUCAGAAAGCCACGGCUAACUACGUG
rnacentral:rRNA from 1 species